rnacentral:rRNA from 1 species
GUGUCAGCAGCCGCGGUAAUACGUAGGGUGCGAGCGUUAAUCGGAAUUACUGGGCGUAAAGCGUGCGCAGGCGGCUCUUUAAGUCAGAUGUGAAAGCCCCGGGCUUAACCUGGGAACUGCGUUUGAAACUGGAGAGCUGGAGUGUGGCAGAGGAAGGUGGAAUUCCUGGUGUAGCAGUGAAAUGCGUAGAGAUCAGGAGGAACACCGAUGGCGAAGGCAGCCUUCUGGGCCAACACUGACGCUCAUGCACGAAAGCGUGGGGAGCAAACAGGAUUAGAAACCCUCGUAGUCC